rnacentral:lncRNA from 1 species
UGAAAAAGCAAGAGGUUUAUUUUCAGGCCUGUCGGGGUCGACCUUCAAUUAGUUCCUCAAGGAGAGUUACUAAGAAAGCCACACCGAAUGGCUAUUACAAGCAGUUUUUAUACUUUUUAGGGGCACAGGUUUUAGGGGCUGAUGCAAGAUUACAGUUCAAACUCAUUGGCUAAGCAGAGUGACCACUACAUCUAUUGGCUGGCAGGCAUGACAGGAACUUGAACUCUACCUGGGACUUUUCGGAGGGUCAGUUAACUAU